ACGCUCGACACCUACGGGUAGGCAGCAGGUGGGGAAUAUUGCACAAUGGGGGAAAACCCUGAUGCAGCGACGCCGCGUGAAGGAAGAAGUAUCUCGGUAUGUAAACUUCUAUCAGCAGGGAANAAAGUGACGGUACCUGACUAAGAAGCCCCGGCUAACUACGUGCAAGCAGCCGCGGUAAUCUGAGCGGGCUGGCAAGGC
rnacentral:rRNA from 1 species